rnacentral:rRNA from 1 species
CAGCGCCACGGUAAUGCGAAGGGGGCUAGCGUUGCUCGGAAUGACUGGGCGUAAAGGGCGCGUAGGCGGCGGCCAAAGUCAGGCGUGAAAUUCCCGGGCUCAACCUGGGGGCUGCGUUUGGUACUUGGUUGCUUGAGUGGGGAAGAGGGUCGUGGAAUUCCCAGUGUAGAGGUGAAAUUCGUAGAUAUUGGGAAGAACACCGGUGGCGAAGGCGGCGACCUGGUCCUUUACUGACGCUGAGGCGCGAAAGCGUGGGGAGCGAACAGGAUUAGAUACCCGCGUAGUCCCUGUCUCUUAUACA